CCUACGGGAGGCAGCAGUGAGGAAUAUUGGUCAAUGGGCGGAAGCCUGAACCAGCCAAGCAGCGUGCAGGAUGACGGCCCUACGGGUUGUAAACUGCUUUUAUACGGGAAUAACGCGCCUUACGUGUAGGGCUUUGCAUGUACCGUACGAAUUAGGACCGGCUAAUUCCGUGCCAGCAGCCGCGGUAAUACGGAGGGGCCGGGCGUUAUCCGGAUUUAUUGGGUGUAAGGGGAGCGUAGGCCGCAUGUCAAGCGUGCUGUGAAAUGUCCGGGCUCAACCCGGGCCUUGCAGCGCGAACUGGCGUGCUUGAGUCCGCGGAAGGCAGGCGGAAUUCGUCGUGUAGCGGUGAAAUGCGUAGAUAUGACGAAGAACUCCGAUUGCGAAGGCAGCGUACCGGCGCCAGACUGACGCUGAGGCACGAAAGCGUGGGGAUCGAACAGGAUUAGAUACCCGGGUAGUC
rnacentral:rRNA from 1 species